GCCACCGUAGCUUGCUUGUAGGCGCAUGCGCGGCUUGCGCGACCGGUACGCGGAAGUGGUAGCGCCCCAGCUCCGGGGGACAGGGUGGGUUGGGUUAGUUUUCUCUGCUCUCCUGGGCCGGGAAGGCCCGUAGGGUCGCAGCUUGCUGCACUCGCCAAGUGAAAGGAUUUAGAGAUGUUGGGGCGUGUCCGUUUCCCCAGCUAAUAAGUACUGUUGUAGCCAACUUUGCCGAGAGCCGGAAGGGAGCCCAGCCCGCGAGACGCCCGCACCCACCCUCGCCCGCGGCUCCCGCCGGCCGGCUCACUGGCGCCCGCCUCCCGGCUCUUUCCGUGGGAGCGAGUCCGCACCGCCUCGGGGACCCACAGACCUCUGAGAGUGUUCACAAGCCCACGUACGCCUUCGAGUCCAGCGCUGGAGCGGGCUUGAGGCGGUGAGGUCCUGACGGCGUGCAGGCGGGGUCGGCCUGAGGGGUCGAACUUGUUUCUGCCGUCCGUAAACUCGGCGGGAAGAGCCAACCCCACAAGGCACCAAGACCUGACCUGUGCAACUGCCUGCUCUUGCCUUUCACACGGCUCGCAAGCUGGAGUGGUGAUGACCAGGGUGACCUUGGGUGGCAGACCUACCGUCAGCCUGGGUCCCUGCAGGACUACAUGGAAGAGAGCUUCUUGCCAACCUGGACUAGCUUCUGCAGGAAAGUCCGAUGAGCGAGAAAGAGAGAGACAGAGCGAGCACACAAGUAC